ensembl:lncRNA
GGAUAGGGACAAAACCAGUACAUAGAACAAAUAAAAAGAGAAAAGGGAUUAAAUGCGUCAUUGUGCUGAAAACUACACAGUAAUAUUAGAAUCGAUUUUUUUCCUUGUGGUUAAUUUUCCGGAGUUUAAUCCUCUCUCACCGCACAGUUUCUCGUCAGAUCCAUCGGGACAGUCGUCUUUCCCGUCACACAGCCUCUCAGGUGGUAGGCAGAUGUUGGAGUCAUUAACACACACGUGGUGAGAGAGUUUACACACCAGCGCUUCACAGUUCUCCUCAUCCGAGCUGUCCUCGCAGUCGCUGUCUCCGUCACACACCCACGCCUUACUGAUACACUUCGCUAGGGGACCAAAGGUGAAAGGUCACAGUUAGCAGUGCCGCUUACAUCAAUUCAUCACUCAUACGACUUCAACAUCAACAACGUUUCGCACUCUUCUUCCGUCUCUUUAUUCUCUCUGUCCUCAUCUCUCUCUCUCGUUUUUUCUUUUCCACACUGCUUUACUUUCUUUACUACUUUUUGUGUCUUAUAUUCUUUCUUUCACUCCGUCUUCCUCCCAACUUCGCUCUCUUUUUCUUUUCUUUCUCACUCAUGAUGUAAAACGUACAUUUAAACUUUUAGGUUUUUGUGAACUUUGAAUUCAAGGUUUUAAACACGUACAUAUAUUAAAACGUUCAGCUCCUGCUCAGAAAUGAUGGAUGAUAAUCAAUUCUUUUCAGUCCUAUAGGAUUUUGAAAAUAGCAGGAAAUAAUGAAGACGGUAAUAAAUGGGUUAGUAUCGUACUGGGAGUAAACUGUAUUGCAGGUACAGUUGAUGUACAGAUGAUGUUCCUCCCAGACAGACAGUCACUAAUGCGCAUUAAUUACUCAUGAGCUCAAAACUAACAAAUGUACCAACACGUAAAUAAAGAGCGGCGGUGUGUAUAUAGCACAUCCACUACGCUACGUUACCCAGAAUUCCUCACCAGAGUCUCUGCAGCCGAAUUUGACGGCAGGGUCGCAGAUGUUGGUGACGCCUUCGCAGUUUUUUUCGUCGCUCAUGUCGACGCAGUCGGUGUCUCCAUCACAGCGCCAGCGCAGAGGAAUACACAGACUGUCCAUCCGACACUGAAACUCAUCUGUGUGACAGCCACCGGGGGGACGGGUCGCUGAAACAUCACACGCACAGGGUUACAGACAGAGUGUGUGUGUGUGUGUGUGAAUGAAACACCUUGACAUACACUUUACUGCUGUCACUACUAUAUAUUUAUUAGAAUGAAGAUGAGAGGAUGAUGAGAGGAUGAUUAUGAUUAUCACCGUUGUUGCUGCAGUUGGCGUGGGUCUCGUCGCUGAAGUCGUUGCAGUCGUUGUCUCCGUCGCAGGUCCAGUAAUCGGGGAUACAGCGGCCGCUGUUGCAUUUAAACUGUGUGGUGGAGCAGGAGUGAGGGCAGCCCGCUUCAUCGCUGUUAUCACCGCAAUCAUUAUCUACAACACAACGCAAUUACACAACAACGCUACACAAUCGCCGCGGGAUACACAACACGGUUCAAAAUUGCCACGGGACACACAACAAUCUCUAUUCCAAUCUACUGCAGACUAUUCAAAUAUCACAUCAAUAUAAACUGACUUACAGGCAAGGAAUUUAAAAACAAAAAAACACCGGCCUUUAUUCAUCAAAACAGGUCAUGGGGUGGAGUUCAUUUAAUGUUAUGUAAAUAAUAUGCAAAUGAGGUUGAACCGGGUUGAAUUCUGCUGUACAGUAUACACAUAGGUAAAUAAUAUGCAAAUAAAAUGAAACACAAAAUUCUGAGGACAGACUCUAGGAACUACAGACGAUUUCUAGGAACUUUAAUGAAUGAAGGCCGAUUAAUUAAAUUCAUUAAAAUUCACACACACACACACACACACACACACACACACACAAACAUUUAGACAUUUAAAUAAAGUCAAACACACAAACAACACAAUAGAUAAUCACAGAAACUGCAUAGAUCGGACCAUGCACCAUGAGGAAAAAAUAUAUUUAAAUAAAAAUUUAAAGAAAUGGGAAAUUAUAUCUCUGUAUAGCUGCAGUGUUUUACAACAAAUAUCUACUGCAUUAUGUUAAAAAAGAUUUUUUUUUUAUUACUCUGUAGGAAAAGCUUACAUAUUAAUAAUAUUUACAAUAUGAAUACGUUCAAUAUUUUAUUUCCUACUAAGAAUUUACCAAUAAAAUGAAACUGAGAUCUUGCUGCAAUUCAGGUAUCUAAGUAUCUCAUAUCUAAUAAUUCUUUUAUUUUUUAUUCCUAUUACAUCUGUUUUUAUUUUUUUAUUUAUCUAUCUAUCUAUCUAUCUAUUUAUCUGUAGAUAUUAUGGUGCAUGUUGAUCUAUGCACUAACCGGUCAGGUUGGGACAAUUGAACUCAUCAGAUCCGUCCCCACAAUCCUUUUCUGCAACAGCGAGCCAAUUGGAGACAAGGGGGGGCGGGGCCAAUGGCACAGAGAACAGGAAAUGAUGUAAACACACACACACACAGAUGAAUAAAUGAGGUAACGAACACAAAAACACACACAAAGACAGACACAUGGUAACGACGGAGAUGUGAUGUAGUACUACAAAGACACACACCAACACACAGUAAAACACUAUAACACACAACAAGACACACAAUCACACGUGAGAGAGUUAAAGUGUCUCACCGCUGUCGCAGCGCCAGUUCAUGUUGAUGCAGCGUCCGUUAUUACACGUGAACUGAGUCGGAGGGAAACACGUCGGAUACGCUGGAAAACACAACCACGGUGUCACGGAAUCAGGAACAAUAUACACGGAAUAAACAAGACGCAGGUUCAUCAGAGCGAUCGCCGCAGUCAUCGUCCAGGUCCACACGUCCACGAGCUGGGAAUACAGCGUCCGCUCGCACACGAGUACUGAUUCGCAGGACAUGUCCGAGCUGAGGUCAAAGUCAAGCGUGAUAAAUAUUUAAAUGACCAGCGAUUAAACACAGAAAUAUAUCAGAUAUAAAAUAUUAACAUCUUUAACAGAUAAGCAGAGAGAUGUGUGAUGAUAAAAGAAAGAAAUAAAAGUCUAUUUACUAAAAUUCAUCUUCAGCCUGUAGAUGUGUGCAAGUUUAAACGUGUUUAAUCAUGGACAUGUUUAGCUAACUUUGUUGUCAUCUUUGUUUACGAUAACGAACCCACAAAGUUGUAAUCAUCAACAGACUCGCAUGAAUUCAGUUUGUCUCUGAUGUAAACAGGCAGAGUUUCUAUGAGAUGUGUAUACAUGUCCGGUUAUUACAGGCUAGACCAACGCUUAGCAUCAUUUAGCCACCGACACCAUCACAAGACAUUAAGGAUCUUCUAGAGUUACACCAUAUGAAAGUGUUAGUGUAGGCGAAUAACACACGCUCUUUCUUUUAGCAAUAAUCCAGAAUAAUAAGUGGAGAAUAUUUUAGCGAACGUCAGCCCCAUUCCUCAAUACAAUUCUUCAGAUUCUUCAGUCAGAGUGUAACCAAGUAGCAUCAGGUCGCUAGGCUAAUCGAGUGCUUUCUUUACAAAACCUUAAAGCGGUCCAUAAGUGUUACAAUAACGACAAACUACCGCAAUUCCAUUUGGGAGUCCAAAUGCAGGUGCUACAGCAAAAUUCCUCUCUGAGCUGCACAGCGCUCAGAAACGAACCACCGCUCUGAUCAUGUCACUGUACAAUCGUACUCUCAGGCGCUGUUUAUUUUCUAUAAUCUUCAUUUGUUAUUUACUUAUUUUUGUAAUUAUAACUAUUUUCAUUUUUAUUUUAUUAUUAUACCUGUUAUUUUUAUUUUAAAUUGUGUAUUUUUUUUAUUCUCCUUUAUUAUUAUAUUGAUGCUUAUAUUGAGGGAAUAUUUUAUGUGAACAAUCACGCCAAUAAUUCUCUGAACUGAAAAAAUUGAGAAACAGCAGAUCUUCUCAAUCUGAUGGCAGAGUCAAGUCUCGCUCUCUGUCUCUCUCUCUCUGUCUGUCUCUCUCUCUCUCUGUCUGUCUCUCUCUCUCUCUGUCUGUCUCUCUCUCUCUCUGUCUGUCUCUCUCUCUCUCUGUCUGUCUGUCUGUCUCUCUCUCUGUCUGUCUCUCUCUCAUACAAGGUGACGAGAGCUUAGAAUUUCACGUGAACUAGAGGAGAAAAAUGUGAGGUUUCCUGCAGAGAUCAUCAGCUAAAGGUCACCUGUCUUGCAGAGAAGUCUUUGGGGGGUUUUGUCCACAGUGUGUGUG